rnacentral:snRNA from 1 species
GGAUGUGAGGGCGAUCUGGCUUCGACAUCUGUCACCCACUCACCGCUCCAUGUCCACUGCUCCCUCCCGAAGCGCUCGGUUGACGAGGACGACCUUCUCCCAUAGGAGGAGGACUAUCCUGUGGUCAAGGGUAUAUGGUCACUUGACUCCCCUGCUAGAACCUCUAAACAAGCCGUCUCAAAGCUUGCAAGAGACCAUCCAGGAUUUAGCAACUGGUU